GACGAACGCUGGCGGCGUGCCUAAUACAUGCAAGUCGAGCGGACAGAAGGGAGCUUGCUCCCGGAAGUUAGCGGCGGACGGGUGAGUAACACGUGGGCAACCUACCCUGUAGGUCGGGAUAACAUCGAGAAAUCGGUGCUAAUACCGGAUAAUCAUUUGAAGUGCAUGCUUCGAAUGUAAAAGAUGGCUCCGGCUAUCACUACGGGAUGGGCCCGCGGCGCAUUAGCUAGUUGGUAAGGUAAUGGCUUACCAAGGCAACGAUGCGUAGCCGACCUGAGAGGGUGAUCGGCCACACUGGGACUGAGACACGGCCCAGACUCCUACGGGAGGCAGCAGUAGGGAAUCUUCCGCAAUGGACGAAAGUCUGACGGAGCAACGCCGCGUGAGUGAUGAAGGUUUUCGGAUCGUAAAGCUCUGUUGUUAGGGAAGAACAAGUGCCGUUUGAAUAAGGCGGCACCUUGACGGUACCUAACCAGAAAGCCACGGCUAACUACGUGCCAGCCGCCGCAGUAAGAC
rnacentral:rRNA from 1 species